UAGGGAAUCUUCCACAAUGGACGCAAGUCUGAUGGAGCAACGCCGCGUGAGUGAAGAAGGUUUUCGGAUCGUAAAGCUCUGUUGUUGGUGAAGAAGGAUAGAGGUAGUAACUGGCCUUUAUUUGACGGUAAUCAACCAGAAAGUCACGGCUAACUACGUGCCAGCAGCCGCGGUAAUACGUAGGUGGCAAGCGUUGUCCGGAUUUAUUGGGCGUAAAGCGAGCGCAGGCGGAAGAAUAAGUCUGAUGUGAAAGCCCUCGGCUUAACCGAGGAACUGCAUCGGAAACUGUUUUUCUUGAGUGCAGAAGAGGAGGGUGGAACUCCAUGUGUAGCGGUGGAAUGCGUAAAUAUAUGGAAGAACACCAGUGGCGAAGGCAACUCUCUGGUCUGCAACUGACGCUGAGGCUCGAAAGCAUGGGUAGCGAACAGG
rnacentral:rRNA from 1 species